CACGUAGGCACCAAGCGUUAUCCGGAUUUAUUGGGCGUAAAGAGCUCGUAGGCGGUUCGGUAAGUCGGGUGUGAAAGCUCUGGGCUCAACCCAGAGAGGCCACCCGAUACUGCUGUGACUAGAGUGCGGUAGGGGAGCGGGGAAUUCCCGGUGUAGCGGUGAAAUGCGUAGAGAUCGGGAGGAACACCCGUGGCGAAGGCGGCCAUCUGGACCAGCACUGACGCUGAGGCACGAAAGCGUGGGGAGCAAACAGG
rnacentral:rRNA from 1 species